UCCAAUACAGUUACUAACCUUCCAAAAGUGGCUAGGAUUUGUGACUCUCACUCACAAGGCCGGGGUUCAAUUCCCCGUGACGGAA
rnacentral:tRNA from 1 species